UCGAGCGAGUCUGCCUUGAAGAUCGGAGUGCUUGCACUCUGUGAAACAAGAUACAGGCUAGCGGCGGACGGGUGAGUAACACGUGGGUAACCUGCCCAAGAGAUCGGGAUAACACCUGGAAACAGAUGCUAAUACCGGAUAACAACAGAUGAUGCCUAUCAACUGUUUAAAAGAUGGUUCUGCUAUCACUCUUGGAUGGACCUGCGGUGCAUUAGCUAGUUGGUAGGGUAACGGCCUACCAAGGCGAUGAUGCAUAGCCGAGUUGAGAGACUGAUCGGCCACAUUGGGACUGAGACACGGCCCAAACUCCUACGGGAGGCAGCAGUAGGGAAUCUUCCACAAUGGACGCAAGUCUGAUGGAGCAACGCCGCGUGAGUGAAGAAGGGUUUCGGCUCGUAAAGCUCUGUUGUUGGUGAAGAAGGACAGGGGUAGUAACUGACCUUUGUUUGACGGUAAUCAAUUAGAAAGUCACGGCUAACCACGUGCCAGCAGCCGCGGUAAUACGUAGGUGGCAAGCGUUGUCCGGAUUUAUUGGGCGUAAAGCGAGUGCAGGCGGCUCGAUAAGUCUGAUGUGAAAGCCUUCGGCUCAACCGGAGAAUUGCAUCAGAAACUGUCGAGCUUGAGUACAGAAGAGGAGAGUGGAACUCCAUGUGUAGCGGUGAAAUGCGUAGAUAUAUGGAAGAACACCGGUGGCGAAGGCGGCUCUCUGGUCUGUUACUGACGCUGAGGCUCGAAAGCAUGGGUAGCGAACAGGAUUAGAUACCCUGGUAGUCCAUGCCGUAAACGAUGAGUGCUAAGUGUUGGGAGGUUUCCGCCUCUCAGUGCUGCAGCUAACGCAUUAAGCACUCCGCCUGGGGAGUACGACCGNCAGGUUGAAACUCAAAGGAAUUGACGGGGGCC
rnacentral:rRNA from 1 species